AGCGAACGCUGGCGGCAGGCCUAACACAUGCAAGUCGAACGAGGUCUUCGGACCUAGUGGCGGACGGGUGAGUAACACGUGGGAACGUGCCCUUUGGUACGGAAUAACUCAGGGAAACUUGAGCUAAUACCGUAUGUGCCCUUCGGGGGAAAGAUUUAUCGCCAUUGGAGCGGCCCGCGUCUGAUUAGCUAGUUGGUGAGGUAAUGGCUCACCAAGGCGACGAUCAGUAGCUGGUCUGAGAGGAUGACCAGCCACAUUGGGACUGAGACACGGCCCAAACUCCUACGGGAGGCAGCAGUGGGGAAUCUUGCGCAAUGGGCGAAAGCUUGACGCAGCCAGGCCGCGUGGAUGAUGAAGGUCUUAGGAUUGUAAAAUCCUUUCACCGGUGAAGAUAAUGACUGUAGCCGGAGAAGAAGCCCCGGCUAACCUCGUGCCAGCCGCCGCCGUAAAAC
rnacentral:rRNA from 1 species